rnacentral:rRNA from 1 species
AGAUGUGAAAGACCCCGGGCCGUCAACCUCGGGAAGUUGCAUUUGUAAACUAGGCAAACUAGAGUACUGUAGAGGGGGGUAGGAAUUUCAGGUGUAGCGGUGAAAUAGCGUAGAGAUCUGAAGGAAUACCGGUGGCGAAGGCGGCCCCCUCGGACAGAUACUGACACUCAGAUGCGAAAGCGUGGGGAGCAAACAGGAUUAGAUACCCUGGUAG